UGGGGAAUAUUGCACAAUGGGGGAAACCCUGAUGCAGCGACGCCGCGUGAGCGAAGAAGGUUUUCGAAUCGUAAAGCUCUGUCCUAUGGGAAGAAAAUGACAGUACCAUACGAAUAAGGACCGGCUAAUUACGUGCCAGCAGCCGCGGUAAUACGUAAGGUCCGAGCGUUGUCCGGAAUCAUUGGGCGUAAAGGGUACGUAGGCGGAUAAGCAAGUUAGAAGUGAAAUCCUAUAGCUCAACUAUAGUAAGCUUUUAAAACUGCUCAUCUUGAGGUAUGGAAGGGAAAGUGGAAUUCCUAGUGUAGCGGUGAAAUGCGCAGAUAUUAGGAGGAAUACCGGUGGCGAAGGCGACUUUCUGGCCAUAUACUGACGCUGAGGUACGAAAGCGUGGGUAGCAAACAGG
rnacentral:rRNA from 1 species